AAAAAGUUUUAUUUUGGCUUUAAAAUUAGGUUAAAUUCGUUUUUACAUGUAAGUUAGUGCGUGAUAUUAGGUGAUUUUUCUAUAGAAUUUUUAAUUUUCAUUCGCAGUAAGUAAAUUUAAAUAUAAGUGUAAGCUUGAUUUAGAAAUUAUUUUUAGUAUUAACAUAAUUUGUGCCAGCAGUUGCGGUUACACAAAUAAUAUAACUUAAUUUGUUUUGGAUGCAGUUUAUUUUAUUUGUUUGGUUUUUAAAUAAAGAUUUUUAGGUGAAAUUUUAAUUUUUGUUAAUUACCAAUUUUUAGUUAUUUAUUCUGGGAAAUUUUUUUCUUAAACUAGGAUUAGAUACCCUAUUAUUAAAAAAGUUAAUAUUUAAAUCCGGACUAGUACUAGUUAUUGUCUUUAAAAUUAAAAAUUUUGGCGGUAUUUUAUUCCAUUCAGAGGAACCUGCCUUUUAAUCGAUGAUCCACGAUUUUAUUUACUUUUUUUUAGUUUACAUAUCGUCGUAUUUUGAAUAUUUUUAAAAAAUUAUAAUAUUCAUAAUUUCUUUUAGUAAGAAAAUCAGAUCAAGGUGUAGCGUAUAGAAAAGAUAAUGGUGGGUUACAUUAUUAAUAUUUAAGGGAUUGUUAAUUAAAAAUUUACAUGAAUGCGGAUUUGAUUGUAAUUUUAUUUUAAUUUAUUAAAAUGAUUGUUGGCUCUAAAAUAUGCACAUAUCGCCCGUCGCUUUUGCUUUAAAGUUAAAUAAGUCGUAACAAAGUAGGCUUACUGGAAAGUGAGCCUAGAAAGAA
rnacentral:ncRNA from 1 species